UUGCACCGCACGGCUUGCUGUAGUUGCCGGGUACUGGAGGUCGGGCAUGCUCAUGAAACAUCAACUGCGAAAUGCUGUUCAAGCGUUGAAAAGACUGAUUAACUUGACAUUACAGACAAAUGUAACACUGGCUGCUUUUUAAACUGAAUUCCUGCAGAGCCCGUGAGUCAAAAAUUAAGACAAAACUCCUAGAAAACACGAAGGAGCUCAGAAAUUUGUCCGUCCGUUUUGUCCUACAAAGGCGCCGAGAGUUUGACAGCGGCAGGACUUCAGUGCGCAGGCCUGACGUUAGGUAAACUGCUGGUGGAGGACAGCAUCCGGAGGACUCCAUGAAACAAUAAAGACAGCCCUUUUUGUAUAGGGAAGCGAGCUAAAACAUGAGGAAGGACGUGAGGAUACUACUCGUAGGGGAACCCAAGGUGGGGAAGACAUCACUGAUAAUGUCUCUGGUCAGUGAGGAGUUCCCUGAUGAGGUUCCUCUGCGAGCUGAGGAGAUCACCAUCCCAGCUGAUGUCACCCCAGAGAGGGUGCCCACCCACAUUGUGGACUACUCAGAAGCCGAACAGUCAGACGAGCAGCUGUACCAAGAAAUAUCAAAGGCAAAUGUUAUCUGCAUAGUUUACUCAGUCAACAACAAGAAGUCCAUUGAAAAGGUGACAAGCCACUGGAUCCCCCUCAUAAAUGACAGGACGGACAAGGAUAGCAGGGUACCAUUGAUCCUUGUGGGGAACAAGUCAGACCUGGUGGAACACAGCAGCAUGGAGACCAUUCUGCCAAUCAUGAAUCAAUACCAGGAUAUCGAGACCUGUGUGGAGUGCUCUGCCAAAAACCUGAAGAACAUCUCUGAGCUCUUCUACUAUGCCCAGAAAGCUGUUCUCCACCCAACAGGGCCCCUGUACUGUCCAGAGGAGAAGGAGUUGAAGGCCUCUUGUAUCAAGGCUUUAACAAGAAUUUUUAAAGUGUCUGACCUGGACAACGACGGCAUCCUUAAUGACAAUGAGCUCAACUUCUUUCAGAGAACGUGUUUCAAUACACCACUGGCACCUCAGGCCUUAGAGGAUGUAAAGAAUGUGGUGAGGAGGAACAUGACAGAUGGAGUCAAGGACAACGGACUCACACUCAAAGGCUUCCUGUUCCUGCACACCCUGUUCAUACAGCGAGGUCGACACGAGACCACCUGGACUGUGCUCAGGAGGUUUGGUUAUGAUGACGAUCUGGAGCUCACACAGGAAUACCUGUUCCCCUUGAUAAAGAUCCCGUCUGACUGCACCACAGAGCUUAACCACAACGCUUACCUCUUCCUCCAGAGUGUCUUUGACAAACAUGACAAAGACAGAGACUGUGCACUCUCGCCAGAGGAGGUGAAGGACUUGUUCAAAGUGUUUCCCUACAUGCCCUGGGGUCCAGAUGUUAACAACACAGUCUGCACGAAUGACCAGGGAUGGAUCACAUACCAGGGAUACCUCUCCCAGUGGACGUUAACAACAUAUCUAGACGUACAGCGUAGUUUGGAGUACUUAGGUUACCUUGGCUACUCUAUCAUCUAUGAACAGGAGUCCCAGGCAGCUGCCAUUACAGUGACGCGUAACAAGCGCAUUGAUCUGCAGAAGAAACAGACCCAGCGCAGCGUCUUCCGUUGCAACGUCUUGGGGGCCCGGGGCAGCGGGAAGAGUGGCUUCCUCCAAGCUUUCCUGGGCAAGAAUCUGCAGCGACAGAGGCGAAUUAGAGAAGACCACAAGUCCUUGUAUGCCAUCAGCACAACUUAUGUUUAUGGUCAGGAGAAGUACCUGCUGCUCCAUGAGGUUAUGCCAGAUUUUGACUUCUUGUCAGAGGCAGACCUUGCCUGUGAUGUAGUCUGUCUGGUGUAUGACAUCAAUAAUCCACGCUCGUUUGAGUACUGCGCAAAAGUGUACAAGCAACACUUCAUAGACAGCAAGACGCCAUGUGUGGUGAUUGCAGCCAAGUCGGACCUACACGAAGUACGGCAGCACUACAGCCUCUCACCGCACGAGUUCUGCCGUAAGCACAAGCUCCACCCACCUCAGCCAUUCACGUGCAACACGACCGACGCGCUCAACAAAGACAUCUACACUAGACUCACCACCAUGGCCAUGUAUCCCCACGCCCGUCUCCGCUGCAUGUGCUCCUGCAACAGGUGCACCUAUUGCCUGUGUCAGAACGUCCUCAAGUCGGAGCUGCUGCGCAGUAUUAAGGCCCAACUCCGCAGGGUCGUUUUCAACAGGUGUUCAGAAACAUGUUUUUGGCUGCCCCUCUUCCUUUUCCUCUUGCACGUUUUCACCCAUUGCUAAUUUGGCUGUUGUUGUGUUGCAUGGCUCAUCUGGUCUCCAUUUCUCUGGGUAAUCGAGAGCAUGCCUUAGCAAAACAUUGUCAGCCAUUGGCAGCUGGGAAUAAGUUUCUCAUCUGUCCAUCUACAGUAAAGAGAGCUUGUCAUCAUUGUUAAGAUGGGGGAUGCAUAUUGGAUCACAGUGCAGGCUUUGAAUGGCUGCUUAUGGAUUGGACAGAAGUGUGCUGUGUGUUUGCUGAAUUUGGCAAGUAAGUGAUGGCAUAAAAAGCAGGGCUUCUGAUUGGGUCUUCAUGGACCAGGCGGAGCUACAUGCCGUAGUGUCGCAUCCACAACUCACCCCUUGUGCUGUUUAGUCUCUGGCACUAUUAAUAGCAUGAUACUUUAUGGGCCGACACACCACAUUGAAUCAAAUGAAGCGUUUGGUUAUCCCAGUCAGGCAAAAGUGGUUUGGUUGACUACAAGCAUUUGCAAGCAAUUUGACACUUGGAAAUGAGUGCAGACAGAAUGGAAAAUUUAGAGCUUUUGAUCUUAAUUUGCAUGUGACGAGUGCCAUGCAGUGUUUGUAUAGUAUGUAAUGGGUUCAUCCACUGCAACAGCAGAAAAAACAGCAAAAACAACAAACUAAAUGAAAAAAUAAGAAGAAAAUGACAUUUUUUGAAAACUUAAUUUGCCUCUUAAAAAGGCGCAACAUUUCCAUGUCUGCCUGCCAUGUGGUGUGUACAGUAUGUAUACUUGGUGUGUACUUUAUAUGUAACUUUUUGUCAUUGUUUGCAAGUGUGCAGUGACGUUUGACCAGGUUUGCGGUUGAGGUUGUGCUUUUAGGUUUUGGGUGGUGAUUUGAGCUUUCGGGCUGGUUAGAGCUGGAAGAUCCACUUCAUAUAAAGUAUCCCCCAGCUCUAUCUACUCCAAGUGUGUGUGUGAGAGAGCACAUCCUGGUCAGGUGUGUGUGGAAGGCUGUCGGGCUGGGUGGAGGCUGUUGGGGGGGUACCUGAUGUCAGAGGAGGAUUUCAGCCUGACACAGCAGGUUUCCAGCGUGGAGGGGUCCAUCUUUAUGGAGGCCUCCGCUGAGCAGCUAAUUCUUCCAGAAAGGCAUAUGGCUCAGGCGGACCUGAAGAACUCCACCUUCUGGCUGAGAGCGAGCCUCGGUGCCACGGUGUGCGCCGUGCUGGGCUUUGCCAUGUACAGAGCGCUUCUCAAACAGCGGUGAUCAGACAGCAUGAAGCGG